rnacentral:rRNA from 1 species
CUACGGGGGGCUGCAGUGGGGAAUAUUGCACAAUGGGCGCAAGCCUGAUGCAGCCAUGCCGCGUGUAUGAAGAAGGCCUUCGGGUUGUAAAGUACUUUCAGCGGGGAGGAAGGGAGUAAAGUUAAUACCUUUGCUCAUUGACGUUACCCGCAGAAGAAGCACCGGCUAACUCCGUGCCAGCGGCCGCGGUAAUACGGAGGGUGCAAGCGUUAAUCAGAGUUACUGGGCGUAAAGCGCACGCAGGCGGUUUGUUAAGUCAGAUGUGAAAUCCCCGGGCUCAACCUGGGAACUGCAUCUGAUACUGGCAAGCUUGAGUCUCGUAGAGGGGGGUAGAAUUCCAGGUGUAGCGGUGAAAUGCGUAGAGAUCUGGAGGAAUACCGGUGGCGAAGGCGGCCCCCUGGACGAAGACUGACGCUCAGGUGCGAAAGCGUGGGGAGCAAACAGGAUUAGAUACCCUCGUAGUC